UACGGGAGGGGCAAGCGUUAUUCAUCAUAAGCGGGCGUAAAGGGUGAGUAGGCGAUGGUAUAUAGUUUAUAAGAAAUAACAAAGGAUCCUUUGUUGCUUAUUUUCUAGAAACUAGUUAAUGGAGACGACGGAGGGAAAAUAGAAUUACUAAUGAAAAGGUAAAAUCUUCUGAGGUUAGUACGAAUACCUGAGGCGAAGGCGAUUUUCGUCCUAGUCUAACGCUGAGGUGCUAAGGCUUGGGAAUCAAACGGG
rnacentral:rRNA from 1 species